rnacentral:ncRNA from 2 species
GUGUGCGCUCUGCUUUCGGGUGCUCGGCCGGCAUUCGCCGCGUCCGGGUUAAACGGGAAGCCGGUGCGGCGGAGGGGAGCCUCCGGCAAGGCCGGCGCUGCCCCCGCAACGGUAAGCGAGUCAAACCCCAUCACGACGCCACUGCGAGGGUUGGCCUUGCGGGAAGGCGAUGGGCCGGCACGGCCGUGUCGCUCGCAAGUCCGGAGACCGGCCCGUGGCAGUGGUGCUGA